AGCCUGCCAGAGCAAGUGCGCGCUUUUCCCCUUCGCUCAGAAUGUCGCUGUUCUUGCCGACCUUCUGCUUCGCCUCCAGCCCGAUCUGGACUUUGCUCUUGCCCACCUCUCCCCGGUCAGACAGUUUUAGCGGCAGAUGCCCGAGGUCGAGGGCGCCGAUCUCGUCCUGAAGGCUAUUUUGCAGGGAUGUGGUCAAAACCUUGCGCCGCAUACGCGUAAUGAGCGACGUAAUGCCGGCCACCGAACAGGCUGUCGUGCAAGCCUUGGUCUUGACCAGCAGCUCAAGCGAGUUGCGCCGCGCCACGAA
rnacentral:misc_RNA from 1 species